AUGGGAAAUGAAGGGCGCAUUUGAAGUCGCUUUUGAAACUCGUCAGUCUUCGUCGCGCCGCGGUGACGCAUUCACACUUCAAAUGCGGUCUUCGGAGUCUAUGCACUUCAGUUUGGGACACAGCUAGUUCGUUAUUUUCACGAAUAGUUCGUUAUUUUCACGCAAUUGUAAAAUACUCUCUACACCUUUUGUUUGAGCAACACUUUUAUCAUAUCUGCAUUAUUUUCAUCAGGCUCGGUGCUGUGUGUGUGUGUGUCUGCUAACACUUAUAUUUAAAGAGUUUUAUCAUUUCAAUCAUCAUCAGUUAACAAUGUUUUCUCCUCUUCACAUAGAAAACGGAACACAUGAGACACAGGUGUGUUUAUCUGCUGCAGAGACACUGAUGAAGGAAUCACUGCCAUCAAAGACUCUCAGUCAUUUCAAAUGGCACUUUUCUGAUUUUUGAUUGCUGUUCAUUUGAUGCAGAUCUUUUGUGGUGGAGCAGGUGAAGAAAGAAAAACCGGAAAGCACAAAAUAUAAAGUAAGAUCAUUCUGUUACUUCUAAUACAGAAAUGAAAAGACACUGUGCUGUUAAAAUCACUGCUUUUGUUUUGUGAUUGCGCCUCUUUGCAGGAUCUGAAAUGUGUGCAGACUGCUGUGUGCACUGAGGAUGAAGAAGACCACAGCAGCAUCCUGGAAAUGAUCCAGUGUCAUGAAUGAAACGCUCCAUCACUGCAUCUGACCUUGUUUUCUCAUCAGGAACAGAUGCUGCUGUGGUGUCUUCAUCUUCAGUGACCCCAGAGCCAGUGAGAGCAUCUAGAGAAAGACCAAAAGACAUUGAGGAUGUGAUUUUGGUCAGGCUUGUUCUGCUGGUUUCUGUUCAUCAGUCAAUAAAACCUGAGUUUCAGAAGCUUCAAAAGCAUCAUCAGAUAAUGUCAUGAAGAAUCUGAAAGUCAGGCUCCACUGACUGAUACUGUAUGAACACAAAUCAGCAGGAGAAACUUGACCGAAAGGAUUGAACUGAAUGGAGGGACCUCAAUCCCUCUGGAGCCACCUGGAGUAAAGACAGCUGCGGAGAUUGAUCCAGCAACCUUCUGCUGACCAGUCCACUUCACUACACCACACAAGUAAUGAAGCUAUAUCAAAUUAGCAUGCAAUUGUUAAAAUAUGAAAUUAAAUUUAGCAAUAAAUAGAAUGCUGACAGCAUGAGAUAUAAAGCGUUUCACUCUGUCUAAGUGUUUCUCAGGUAGUGGUGUUUAUGGAGAGCAGCACACAGAUGUUUGGAGCAGACACAGCAGCAGUCAGAUUGUCCCGCAUGUGUGUU